rnacentral:rRNA from 1 species
UAGGGAAUAUUGCAAAAUGGGCGAAAGCCCGAUGCAGCAACGCCGCGUGGGCGAUGAAGGCCUUCGGGUCGUAAAGCCCUUUUUGAGGGGAUGAGGAAGGACAGUACCCACAGAAUAAGCCUCGGCUAACUACGUGCCAGCAGCCGCGGUAAAACGUAGGAGGCGAGCGUUAUCCGGAUUUACUGGGCGUAAAGCGCGUGCAGGCGGAUUGGAGAGUCGGAUGUGAAAGCUCCCGUAUUAACUGGGAGAGGUCGUUCAAUACUUCCUGUCUUAAGAGCAGUAGAGGGAAGUGGUAUUCCGGGUGUAGUGGUGAAGUGCGUAGAUAUCCGGAGGAACACCAGUGGCGAAGGCGGCUUCCUGGACUGUAACUGACGCUCAGACGCGAAAGCUAGGG